GAGGGAUCCCAAGGAAAAGGCCAAGGGGGUGGGUGCUCUGGGGGCAGAGGAUGGGCAGAGUGUGUGUGACAAACCGUCGUGGGAGACCUGCAGGAGAGAAGGGGGGAGCAGAGCCCAGGUGAGCAAAAGCUUGAGCAGAGAGAGGGGACAAACAGUGGGGGUGACUCCAGGAAACGUUUGGAGCUUGCAGGGCGUGGGCUGGAAACAAUGCUUGGGCGCGUCUGGGCCCUUCUGACUGGAAAGCGGGAUCUUUCUGGGGAUGGCUGAUGAGCCCAAGUUUCCAACAGGCGGAAGGUGCUUCUGAAGACCCAUGAGGCAGAGAGUCUCUGGCAGGCAGGCGGGCAGCGGUUAAGCUUGGGCAGGGCAGGAGAAAUUGGGGUGGGGGGUGUCCAGGAGAGAGAAGGUCGCUGCCCUGGGGAUGGGCAGGAGGGGUAGUUCCUACCAGUUUACCCACCUGUGGAGACCAAAUAAGCGCAAGAAGAAAUCUGAGAGCUGUGCAAGUGCGCUGACAAGCAGUUCCCAAAGGGCCUGGUAGAUUCAAGAAGUUUCUUUGGUAAGUAAAUACACACGUAGGCCUUGAGAAGCAGGAAGUGGUUAUCCUGGGAGGUGGACUCACAGGUGAAUGUUGGUUUUCUUCUGUCUGCUUUUUUCUGUUUUCCAUGUUCUAAUGAGAAUGUGUGAUCCCGGAAGCCAGACAAAGGACCCAAUAAAAGUGAUUUACUCACAAGAGGAGUCUUCAGUAUAGAGCCAGAUGUCACCAAGAGGUCAGAUGUCACCAAGAGGUCAGAUGUCACCAAGAGAUUUGGUGGCGUUGCAGAUUGAAGAAGACUGCUGAUAGGCAUGGUGCUGCAAACACCUUUUUGAGUUCACUGUCUUUCUCACCGUUUCUGAGGGCUGUGGUAGUUACUGCUGUACUCAGAGACUUCUACAAAAGCUUCCUGCAAACGUGCUUUAUCUUCAGAGGAAUUCAUGGAAAGGAAUCUGACAAGUAUACUCCAAUACAGAUACAUCUGAACCGGUAGGAACAAAGACGGCUUUUGAAUGUCCUUGGAAGGGACCUACGGCAGGACCUAGGGCAGGUCCUCCAGAUGGCAGCCAAACGUCUUGGAGCUGGGAAAGGCUCCACCUGACGUCCGGUCCUACACAGUGCUGGGGACCUCCCGUGCGAGUGAUGAGGAAGAAAAGUAGCCCACAUCGGGGUAGACUGCGCCCUCCAAGAUGCCGAUCGCACAUUAACUGAAUAGGAAACCUUUCUUUUUCUUACUCUAGCACUGGCCUGGAAAGAUGAUAUCAUCGGUGUGUCUCAGGCCGUUGCGGAGGGAUCUAACCGUGGCCUUUCAGACAGCUGGAUUUGUCAUCCAAAGCUCCUGUCUGUCCGUUCACAGCUGCACCUUAGUGGACCUAGCUGCUGAGCACCGAGUGUGGGAUCUCCCGAAGACUGGACUGUCAGAAAAGGAGUGAAGAGGACAACUGACUUAAAUAGUAGGAACUUUGGGACACCUGGUCGGCUCAGUUGGUGGAGCAUGCAACUUUUUUCUGUAACAUGCAACUCUUGAUGUCUGGGUUGUGAGUUCAAGCCCCAUGUUGGGCGUAGAGAUGACUUAAAAACAAUUCUGAACCUGAAGUUGUAACCUGUGACUAACCGUGGUCGGAGAAUGCCUUACAUUUUGGUCACCCGUCUCAGUUAAGCUUAGAAUCUAAUCAAAAGGGAGAUAUCGCUAAAAAGAAAACCACAGGCCCCACAUGGAGUCACUUAUGUUAAGGCCCCACAUCAGCAAACCAAGACUUAAUACCUAACCUGAUUGUCCUUUCAAUCCCCCCAGGAAUGUGACUUCUAACCAGUCAACCUGGAAGUGCCUGGGCGGCACUAGGAAAUUUACAGAUAGACCCCUCCUGUGCCCCUUAGGAGGGAGACCUUACCUAAAGCAGUGCCCUCUUUGCUGAUAAUACCCUCCCUUCCCCUCCCCUCUGCCUUUACAAAUCUUUCUUUUUCUGCGGUUGCACAAAGCUUUUUUCUGUGUGCUGGGGUGGGAUGCUGCCUGAAUCAUGAACUGUUCAAUA